CAAUUCUAUCUUCUCAGGUCACAAUAAAACAGACACAGGCUGAGGUCAUGAUGUGAAUAAGCAUCUUUAAUCAAAUAAUCAAGCUCAAAGCAGGUUAUUUUGUUAUUUGCGAUGAUAUCAUUGGACACUUCAUUUCUUAUUAGGACAGCAUGUGAGCUAAUUUGAUCAAAUUCUGAA